rnacentral:lncRNA from 1 species
AAGAUACAGCUACUACCUCCUACCCACAACCAAAGUAAAAUAUCGAAAGAAAACCUAGCCACCUCUGUUGAGCCCCAUUCCUGUAAAUCAAUGAAACCUUUGAAAUGCCCAGCUCCAGAAUAAGAGAAAUCUUGCCGUCACACUCGGCAGUAGACGAGAUAGAGCAACGCAUCCAACGAAACACCACCCUUGGUUGCCAGUCACACCAUUACUAAUUGUCCAAAUCUGAAGUUGUGGAGAAAUUACCCGUCCAUCAGGGAAUUAACAAUUUGGCUUCCCAAAUUAACAUGCUGAUAUCAGAUCUACCUAUGAUUUUUUUAAUGUUCUAUUUGUUGUAUUUUAUUUAAUUUUUUCUUAAGUUUUAAUUUGUAUAAAUUAAAUAAAACUUUUUUUUUU